rnacentral:pre_miRNA from 1 species
AAAAAGAUAAACUCUGAUUUCCGUGUCCAACAUUUGACCGUCCAUCUUAUUUAAAAAAAUUAUGAAAAAAAUUAAAAAAACAAGUCACGCAUAAAGUAUUAAUCAUAUUUUAUCAUCUAAUAACAAUGAAAAUACUAAUUAUAAAAAAAUUUCAUAUAAGACGGACAGUCAAACGUUGGACAUGGAAACCUAGGGUUUGUCUUUUU